GACGAACGCUGGCGGCGUGCUUAACACAUGCAAGUCGAACGGAAAGGCCCUGCUUUUGUGGGGUGCUCGAGUGGCGAACGGGUGAGUAACACGUGAGUAACCUGCCCUUGACUUUGGGAUAACUUCAGGAAACUGGGGCUAAUACCGGAUAGGAGCUCCUGCUGCAUGGUGGGGGUUGGAAAGUUUCGGCGGUUGGGGAUGGACUCGCGGCUUAUCAGCUUGUUGGUGGGGUAGUGGCUUACCAAGGCUUUGACGGGUAGCCGGCCUGAGAGGGUGACCGGCCACAUCGGGACUGAGAUACGGCCCAGACUCCUACGGGAGGCAGCAGUGGGGAAUAUUGCACAAUGGGCGGAAGCCUGAUGCAGCAACGCCGCGUGCGGGAUGACGGCCUUCGGGUUGUAAACCGCUUUCGCCUGUGGCGAAGCGUGAGUGACGGUAAUGGGUAAAGAAGCACCGGCUAACUACGUG
rnacentral:rRNA from 1 species